GAUCAGCCACACUGGAACUGAGACACGGUCCAGACUCCUACGGGAGGCAGCAGUGGGGAAUAUUGCACAAUGGAGGGAACUCUGAUGCAGCAACGCCGCGUGGAGGAUGACGCAUUUCGGUGUGUAAACUCCUUUUAUAUAGGAAGAUAAUGACGGUACUAUAUGAAUAAGCACCGGCUAACUCCGUGCCAGCAGCCGCGGUAAUACGGAGGGUGCAAGCGUUACUCGGAAUCACUGGGCGUAAAGCGCAUGCAGGCGGUUAAAUAAGUUAGAAGUGAAAUCCUACAGCUCAACUGUAGAACUGCUUCUAAAACUGUUUAACUAGAGUCUGGGAGGGGAAGAUGGAAUUAGUAGUGUAGGGGUAAAAUCCGUAGAGAUUACUAGGAAUACCAAAAGCGAAGGCGAUCUUCUGGAACAGUACUGACGCUGAGAUGCGAAAGCGUGGGGAGCAAACAGGGUUAGAUACCCUGGUAGUCCACGCAGUAAACGAUGAGUGUUAGUCGUUGGUGUCCUAGAGACAUCAGUGAUGCAGUUAACACAUUAAACAUUCCGCCUGGGGAGUACGGUCGCAAGAUUAAAACUCAAAGGAAUAGACGGGGACCCGCACAAGUGGUGGAGCAUGUGGUUUAAUUCGAAAAUACGCGAAGAACCUUACCUAGCCUUGACAUAUUUUAGAAUUCACCAGAGAUGGAGAAGUGCCUUCGGGAGCUAAUAUACAGGUGCUGCACGGCUGUCGUCAGCUCGUGUCGUGAGAUGUUGGGUUAAGUCCCGCAACGAGCGCAACCCUCGUCACUAGUUACUAACGAUUCGGUCGAGGACUCUAGUGAGACUGCCUUCGCAAGGAGGAGGAAGGUGAGGACGACGUCAAGUCAUCAUGGCCCUUACGGCUAGGGCAACACACGUGCUACAAUGGUUAGGACAAUGAGAAGCAAUAUCGCGAGGUGGAGCAAAUCUAUAAACCUAAUCUCAGUUCGGAUUGUAGUCUGCAACUCGACUACAUGAAGCUGGAAUCACUAGUAAUCGUAGAUCAGCUAUGCUACGGUGAAUACGUUCCCGGGUCUUGUACUCACCGCCCGUCACACCAUGGGAGUUGAUUUCACCCGAAGCGGGGAAGCUAAACUGGCUACCCUCCACGGUGGAAUUAGCGACUGGGGUGAAGUCGUAACAAGGUAACCGUAGGAGAACCUGCGGUUG
rnacentral:rRNA from 1 species